rnacentral:tRNA from 1 species
GCCGGAAUGGAGAAAUUGGCAGACUCGUUGGUUUUAGGAACCAAUAUCUUACGAUAUGUGGGUUCAAGUCCCACUUCCGGUA